AAGAAAAAUUGUUUCCGUGGUAUAAAUAGAGGAGUUAACAGUUCAGUCAAAUGUUACAGUAUGUCAUGUGGAUGUUUCCUCUCAAUCUUAGUAAGUUUGCAUCUACAGUUCCAUUUAUUUACUAGUUCCUUUAAGAGACCUGCAAAAUUUGAAACCUUAAAUAUUUCAGAAUUAAAAUUAUGUAUUUCACACAAAAAACAAGUGAACGUUUAAAACAGAAGUGUAUACAUAAUGACAGUGCAAAUAUCAGUCAGACUAGUUCCAACCCAUAGCUGGAGCAAAUUACCAUUACCAUGGGAACUGUUCUUAAUGGCCAUACAGGCUACUGGAAAAAGCCCAAAUGUCCUAGGGACAUUCUCCUUGGAGUGCUCUAACCUUGAAUAUGAGGACACUCUGCACUCCGUGUCUAACAGAUCUGAGUUACCAUUUACUGAGAACCCACAAUGGGCUUAGCCCUGUGCUCUGUGGUCAAUCAUGGCUAUAUUGUUGUUGAUCAUCACAACAACCUUGAAAGGUAAGUAUAGCCCAAGGACAGAUGAAAGACUCAAAGAGGUUAAAUGAGUUCUUGAAGUCAGAUAGCUAGAUGGUGGUCAAAGUGGGGUUUAAAUCUAGAAUUCUGAAUUUGAAAGGUGCAUGCUCUUUCUACCAUACCACAAUGCAACUCACUCUAAAGACACAUAGUGACUCUUUCAUAUGUUAACUGUUAGUAUAUUAAGUAUUCCAGAAUCCCAGAGUGAGUGUAAGCAGUGUUUCCUAAAACAUCAUCUACUACAGUAUUGCUAUCAGUCAUCUUUGCAAGAUCUUUUGUGUCUAUUUCCCCACCCUCUGAUAACACUCUGCAUCUAUGAUAGCUAUGGGCAGUCAGAUGGUGUGGAUAGGGCUGUCACCUCCCAGAUUCCGCCAAUCAGCUCUGGGUAGCAUGAUUUUCAGCUCUGGUUCUUGAAGCUCUGCAGACUCCCAGGAGCCCAGCCCAAACAGGUUUGGCUAAGGACCAGCUCUCAAAAGCAGACUAGAGCUAGCUUAGCACUGGUAUCUUAAACAUCAUAAUUUGAUCCUGUUUGAUUGAUUGGUUCAUAGUAAGGAAUGUAGUGGUGGUGAAAUCUGGCAGAUUAUCAAACUAGCUUUUGACUCUAUCUCACAAUGCUAGAUUUAAAAUAUUUAGAUAAUUAAUAGCAGUCCAGGAAAAAAAACCUUAAUUGGGAAAAAUAUCUACUGCAGAGAAAAAUCGUCCCUUAUCAUAAAUCAAAAAAAAUGUAUCAAUGAUUCAGAAGACUGGGAAGCAUAAAUGCAUUUUGUAAUAUCCUUCUAGUUUUUUAAAGCCGAAUAAGUUACUCUUAGAGAAAUCAAUUUUUAGACAAAAAUCCAUAUACAUAUGCCUAACAGCUUGCAAAAAAUAACUACUCUUCCUCUCUAAAAUAUAAAAUCACCUCCAACCUUGUGAUUAAAGUAAAGAAGACAACUUGGACAAAUAUUGUAAAAUCAAUCAACUCUCAAAAAUGAAGUCUAGAAGUACCUGGGAACUAUCUGUCCUUGGGCAAGAAAGAUUUUAUUAAUUAUAAAUACAAUGUUUAUUGGUCCUGUAACUGAGAUACACUUAUUAUAUGGAUCAUACUAGAGCAUUGAAGAGAAUUAAUUUGAAUUAAAUAAAUUAAAGGAGAACAAGCUUUUGAAAUAAUUUUAUUAUGUUGCUUUCACAAGUCUAAGUCACAUUGGAUCCAUAAUGUAGAAUGAUCACUUCAAUUAUUUCAAAACUAAAGCAAAUAUUGAAGUUUGAAGUAAGGACUGAUGUUACCUCAUUACAGAAUUUUAAAGGUGUUCUUUGUAUAAUAUAAAAUUCAAGUCCAUCUUUUAAGCUGCAUCUGGUUUUCAAAAUGUAUUUUAAAUGAUUCUCUUAGGUUGGCAAUGCUGAUGCCUAGUUUUUCCUUAUAAACUCAGGUGGUAGUUAUAUAUUGAUUCAGUGAACAGAACUGAAAGUAGAGUGAGAUAUAGCUUCUUCCUGGACAUGCCCAUUUUGUUACAUCACAUUAGAGAUGACAAGGACACAAAUCUUACGUGGCAUGAUGCCCUGGUCCACUAGUUGUUCUCUCGUCCUCCUUUGUUGCAGCCUCAGCUGGAGCACUGUGAAAAGGAAAUAAUCACCAUUGGAGUCUAUUGGCAACUGUCGGAUCCAACUUAUGAAGUUCCAGAGGAACAAAAAUAACCAAGGAGAUGACCUGUGGAUCUGAGAGCACCCAAAUGCCUGCAUUCUCUAACAUUCUUCUAUGAAUGCUAAAGUCAAUGCUUGUCUGAAAUUAAGGUGGUCAUAUCUAAGAGGCAGAAUCCCAAGAGAAGGAAUACUGAGAGGAGAAAAGGGUCAGAACAAGCUCCAGUUCAAAGGCUGACACUUCUGGAACACGAUGGUCCAUGUCUGUUGGAGAACCGCUAGCAGUAGUAGUUUUCCUUUCUCCUGAGGGAGUCCUCAAAGAAAGGAGUAAAAUAGAAAGGGUAAUGAAAACAUCAACAGCCCUCUUCUUUGGUUUAAAACAAACAAGCAACAAAGCACCAUACUUGUGAGACAAAUGUAUUGAAUGCAAUACAUAUUUUGGGCAAUGGCAUCUUGGAACGAUGGAUACAUUUGCAACAACUUGAUUUGCAAAUCAACACUGAUGACAACAGCUUGUUAGUCUUGAAGCGUCUCCUGAUUGUACAUUGGUCAGCUGCCCUCAUGCACCUCGACAGCAGCCCUAUCAGCUCUAUCAUCUUUGAUAGAAAGCACACUUUCAGGUUGACAUGCGGAGCUAUCUGCUACCACGAGGGUAUACAAAAUGAAUGCAUGUCACUAAUCAGCAAUAGUGAAAAUGAAACAAAAACGAAACACGAACCGUUUGUGUUUUCCAUCCAGUUUUCUACAUGGCAAAACAAAUGAACUAUCUUACUUAUGUGCUACUUCCCGAAGGUAGGAGAAUAAUCUUCCCAAUCGAUGCUCUCAUCAUUGCCUAUAUAAUUUUCCCAAGAAGCAAUAUCAUCACACUGCAAGUAUUACUCAUAGCAGUUGUGGCAGGCAGCCUUCCCCAGGCAUGUUCAUUUAUUAGGAGUCUAUGUAUCAGGUGCCUCUCAGUGACUGCAAUGCACGUAUGGGAUACACGGGCAAGAGCAGCAGCAGCUGUGAAUGGAAGGUCUGUUUUUAAGCAAAGAACAUGAAUGCAAGAGGAGGCAAAUAACUAGUUAUGAUGUUAAGACUGUUGAUUACCUAGCUUGAUUUAGUUUUCAUCUAUACCAGGUAGGUGGGCAGUACUGGACACACUAUAUUGAAUAUGAGGCACAAUGCCCUUCCCGAGUCGGGUACGUUGCCACUUUUGGGUCAAUGUUGAAACAUAAUUAUAGUAUUUAUUCAUAUUAAAUAAAACCAGUCACUCACAAGUUGAUAGAGACUCUUCUAAGAACAACUAAUGGUUAUAAAAAGUACCAAUCAAAUGGGUAUAGGGUCAUAAUUUUGGAAAAUAUCAAACUUCCUUUUAGUACUUCCUACUCAUCAAAUUAGUAAAAGAGUUAACACAAUAAAUGACACCGAUACCUGCACCUUACAGGCAGAAUGUCCAAGGCCAGGCAGAACAAGGCUUGGAUGGUGUAGACAGCUUAACUGUCCGGCACCACUGGAAAACUGGAGUUGGGCAGAAUUUGGCAGUGCUUAUUCAGGGCUGUGAAGGUAAGAGACCCUGAAAAUAGAGGACCUGACACUAGUGAUGAUCAGAGAGGCAUUUGUGGUUGUGGGAUCAAGACCCCCCUUUCUCAAGUUUCUCUGGGACAAUUAUGAAUUAAGCCUGGAGAACUCUUCUUCUCUUCGAAGCCUCCACACUCAUGUCCACAUGGAGGGAGGGAAGGCCCAGAUCACUGAAUGCUACUGGGCCUGUUGCACGGUUGUAGUUCUUAAGACCAAUGAAUAAACUGGUAUGCUGGCUGA